GUGAGAAAAGAGAGAGACAACGAAGGAGAAGAAGAAAGAACAGGGAAGAGAAAGAAAUCGAAGGUGUUUGGCUAAGGAGGAAGGUCAGGCAGAAAUGGGAGUAAAGGACGACCGAGUUUAAAGAAUUUGUUGUAUAUAAGUUUCAAAAAGAGAAUGGACCAGCUUCUGCCACCCAGAGUCAUUAAGAAAUUGUAUAUCAUUUGUAGUUACAUCCUGAAUAGUGUAUUUAGAAAGAAUUUAAGAAUAAAAGUGAUGUUAAAAGUUAGUUUAAAAGUUUAGAAGAUUUUCGACUAUAGACUCUGCACCUAGUGGGGUCCAUGGUCGGCGCAGUCUGUUCUUGAACUAGUAGGUGUUAUGGGACGGGUCGUGUCAAUUUCGCUCCCGUUUUAUCUAGUAAUUUUGUAUCGGGUCGAAGCCUCUAUGCUUCGGCUUUUUCGUGCGUUGUAACUGCUGAGAUCUAAAUGACCCAACCACCUUUUUUCCUUAAGCUAAUAGAAUGAGAUUUUUCGAUCA